rnacentral:lncRNA from 1 species
AUGAUGAAAAACAAAACUUUAUGUCCUUUGAGUUCCCAAACCAAAUGUCACUCCCCUGUCACAUCCUCUAAUCUGAUGCCCAUGUGUGUGUCCUUGCGCCAUUUGAAGCAAGUUGACAGUUCCAUCCGUUUUGUUUUGUCUUUUUUGUUUUCUUUUGUUUUCUGGCUCAAUAAUUUGAGUUCAGCCAUGGUCAUUUUAAACAUAAUUAAUUCACACAGAUUGUCAGAGCUUGGUUUCCUUAUAACCCAAUCCAUUCUGUCUUCUUUCUGGAAAAACACACAAAGGAGAUUUCCCAGCUUUCCUUUUUAGUUGAUUGUGCCCAUGUUUCUGAGUUCUAACUGAGUCACUCUUGAGGAUUGAGGAGUGCAACUUCCAGGCUUAACUCAUAAUAAUAUCCCAAUGGACAACUCUCUAUGCUUCUUCCUCUGUGUAUUAUAAACUUUGGAAACUGUGUUUGAGAAUGGUAAAACCAUAAGGCAGACAGAGCCUGAGUUUUUGAAGUGCUACUAACCAAUCAGAGUACUUAUUCAGGUCUUUUCUUGAAAGAACCAGAGACACCUGUUUUAUGAAACCACUGAGAUUUAGGGGUUUAUUUAUUACAGCAGGUAGGGUCAUGCUAACCAAUACAUGGAGCUAGUAACUAGAAGAGACAGAAUUUGAGUUAAGGUAUUCCUUCCCAAAGCAUACACUCUUAGCCACUUCUUGGCUUUCAGACUAUUUAAUACCUCCAAUAUGUUGCUUUUGGGAUUGUUGUAAUAGACAUUAUGCUAGAAACUGAUUCCUUGAAGCAUUUGCAAAAUAGUUCUCAAGCCUCAGGCUCAGUACUAGUUCCAUCCAGGUUUUUUUUUUUUCUCUCUGUAGGUGCUACGGUUUGAAUGUGGUUUAUCCCCACCAAAACUCAUGUUGAAAUUUAAUUGUCAGAAUAAUGCUGUUGAGAGGCAGAACCUUUAAGACAUGAUUAGGUUGAUAAGAUGGAUUAAUAUCUUUCUUGUGAGACUAGAUUAGUUUUUGCUGGACUGGGUUAGUUUUUGUCAGAAUGAGUUGUUAGAAAUCAUUGUGCCUUGUGUUCUGUCCCUUUCACUUGCCCACUUCCACUUCUGCUUCCCUGCCAUGUUAUGACAUUGCAUGAGGUUUUCACCAGAAGCCACCAGAUGGAAUUGCCCAGUCUUGAACUUUCUACAUAACUAUGUGCUCACUUAACCUCUUUUCUUUAUAAAUCAUCCAGUCUUUGGUAUUCUGUUAUAUCACAUGCAUUACAAAAUGGGAUAAUGAUAAUUACCUAGUGGCUGCUUGCUUGUUUACUAAAAUGUGCUUGGUGAUUUAGUGAUUUCAUUGAUUAAGGUCAUUUUUAAUAACUGCCCUCUAAAAAUAUGAAUUAUUUGGGCAUUGCUGACUGAACACAAGCAAUUAUUUAUCAUCUAGCUCUAUGGAACUUAGGAAAUUAAAUUGGAAUUCGACAAAAUACAGGGGAAAUACAUUUCUGUCUCUG